CCUCGCGCAUGCGCCCUGCGCGCGGUGAGGCUGCGGCACGGGCGGGCCACGCCCCGCUCCGGGCGCGCGGGAGGGGGCGGCGGGCCGGGCCGGGAGGGCUGAGGGGAAAGGGGACAGGGGUCGGUGUUCCCCCGGAACGGCACGGCCGGGGCGGGAGGUUGGCAGCUGGAGCAGGGGGAUUCCUGGAGCGACAGGACUGAGGCAGAGUCACUGGUGCUGUGUCUUCCUUCAGGUGCCAUGGAGCAUCACCCAAGGUCAUAUUUAUGCCUGUUUUCUAGAAGCCAAGGAAAGGUCACUUGUCAAGGUCAUCUGGUGCCGAACGAGUCUCUCCAGUCCAAAUACAUUUUUAAUUCCGUCAUUCCCUGUAAAGCAAACAAGUGGGAAUUGUUGAUGUAAGAUAGAUGUUGGGGUCGUGCCAGCACUAUAAUUACCCUGUGACAGGGUGUUAGGAUUAGGGGUAUGGGGGAUGGCAGAAAGGGCUGGCAGCCGUGGAGGACAGAAGAGGAGCUGGGCCAGGCACUUCAGCAGUGGAUGAGGGGAAAAGCAGCGAUCAAGGUAAGGCAGUGCCGUGUAUGACACAAAGCAUGACUGCUGUGUUCUUAGUUGUAGCACAGUAAAGUCUCAGGGCUGCCUUCAUUUUUUUUCCCUUUGUUUUUGACUGAAUUGUGAUUUGGGGAAGGGAGGUUAAUUCAUAACAGACUAGUUUUUUUCCAACAAUCCAGUGAGAAAACAACAGCAAAAUAGUCUGUACCAUUUGUGUUUCAAACAGAGAAAUGAAAUCCAAGAUUAAAGACGAGUCUGAUUUUGUGAAGACAAAACCAAAUAACUGAUAGGUGGAAUGUUUAGAACUGUUUAUCCGUAGUUUUAAUUCUCCUGACAGGGAAAAAAAAUCUGGCACGUCACUUCAUGGCUUUCAUCAGCUUAUGAGAUUGUACUACUCUGAUAAUCAUAAUUUGCUCUUAUUAAUUUUUUAAAUAAGUGGAAAUUUAGUGUGGCUGUUGCCUACAGCACACAAGGUGCCAUAACUAAUCAAAGAGAGAAGGAAAGAUAUAAAAAGAAGAUGGAGAAAGAAUAAAUUUAGGUCCAUGAGGAGUUACAUUUGAGGGAAUGAGUUGAACAAGUAGAAAUAAUUGAGAGCACUUUGGAAUUGCAAAGUGUAAAAAGUGGGCACAAAGGGUACUACAGGUGUUGGAAUGAAAAUAAUGUUUCUGAGAGCAUUUUUUAUAUUUUUGUGUGCAUGUUUAAUGGAGAAAGGAGACUGGAAGUAAAAUUAGAGAUGAAAAAGAUUCAUUACCAUCUACAGGGCCUAAGAGAAUCAGGUAAAAUAAUAAACUGAGCAGUGGAUACAUUUCUCUGAUGUUCUAAGUAUGUAUAAUAACAUAAUAAUAAUAUAAUAUAACUGUGUCAUUUAAACUGUAAGCCACUGGCAUAUUAUAUUUUCCUGAACCCUUCUUCAUCCCCUGGAGAAAUCCCACUGUGACAGGCUCACAGAAUGGUAUGAGAAAACUAGCUGGCAAUGGUAUGUGCCUUUCUAGUUCUCUUUGGCACUGCCAAGAGGCUCAUGGAACAGCUGAGCUGUGCCCCCUGCUCAUGGAGGACAUUAACUUGACCCUUCCCUCUCUGCAUGAGUGCCAGCUCUCAGUGGAGCUGCAUGGGUGUAGUUAUCCCUCAGCCUUCUCAACUCCUAUUUCAAAAUGCCUGAUGAGUUCAGAAGUUAUCAGGGGCAGAGUCAGAGGCUAAGACGAAAAUCCAGAAAGCAGUUGCAUUCUGAAAUGAGGAUACAGUUGUUGUAUGGGGAUUUUGUGAGGUGUCUGCUGCUUACCAGAGAGUGUCCAUCCCAGAACUGGAAAGCAACAGGUGGAUGAGGAGUUCUGUGUGAAGUGUUGCCUGCUGUGCUGUGCUGUGCUGUGCUCGGAGGAGGAGGAGAAACAGGAGGAGGAGGGAGGAAGCCUCAGCUCCUUCUGCUUGGUUUCUGCCGACGCUGUCACACAGGCGAGCAGGGAAGCACCUCGCAGCCAUGUUAGGUAAGGGCAGCAGGAGGCAGCUGUGUCCCUCCUUUUUCUGGGCAGGAAGUCCAUGAAAAUGUUGUGAUAGCCAUCAUAGCUGAGGGCAGAAAGAGCCCGUCCCAUGCCAUCUUGGAUAAGGGAAGGGGAGCUCUUUAAGGGACUGUGUCACUGUCACAUUUGUCCCUUAAAGAGCUGGUGUCUGUUUCAGGAGGAUGAAAUGCAGCUGAGAUAGUUCAUGUGCAUACCUGCAAAACAUCUAGAUUUUGGCUUCUAAAAUAUUCUGAACCAAGCUGUCAAAAAGUAAGGAAAUGUUUCAGAGAAGUUUUCUCCAGUGUUAAAAAAAUUGGUUCUAAUUAUCACCCCAGAUUUAGUGAAGGGUUACAGAUUUUUAUUUUAGUGCUAUUCUUGUUCUUUAGUGUCAGACUUAUUUUCUGUUUGUGAUCUUUUAACUCCCUGACUGGUUAUGUAAAGAACAAUUGCAUUAUCUUUCAGCAUUAAUUUUGAAAGAAUAAGCAAUUCUAGCAGUCUAAUCCUCUCUUGUCAGGUUGGUUCUCCAUUUAUUCCGUUUUCUUUCAGAUCCUUCCCUGCUCCUAUUUCCGAUUUGCAUUAAAAAAAGGAUACUUGUAUCCAGUAUAUAAAUGAGAGUCUUACCAACAUAACAUUUACAUUAAUGUAAUUUAUGUAAUGAGCAUAUACUGAAUUGUGCUAUUCAAUUUAGAUUAUGUAAUAAAUAUUAAUGUUUUAUAUAAUUAUUUAAAAUCUAUUCUUUAUUAUGUGGUAUAUAUCCUGUUUUUAUAUAUAAUGUACAUUGCAUAGUAUGUUGAUAAUACAUGUAUUUGGUAUAUAUACAUAAGUAUAAUGUAACAGGCAUACCAUUAAUACAUGUUGUGCUAAUAUAUAGCUAAUUUUACAUGCAGUGUUUUUUCAUUUCAAAUUAAAUCAGGCAAGUUGAAAUACCUGGCAUUUUCACUGCUUUAUCAUUUUAGCAGAACAUAGUCAUCAUGUGGCCACCUCCUAUUUGCUUUUCUCUUCAUAUAUCAAUGUAACAGUCAAUAUUAAUUUUGACUUUUUGAAAUGUUUGAUGUUUUCUGUGGCUGUUUGAAAAAUGGAAAAGAUUAUUU